CCUACUUGAGCUUUAUUUUAUUACUAUUUUGUUUUUAAUUUAAAGCAUUUACCCAAAACAAAAAUCAUAUUUAUUGGGACUUUUAUCUUAUCUUAUAAAAUACGGAGACGUUUUUUU